rnacentral:piRNA from 1 species
UUCCCCUAUAGGUAGAGAGCUGCUAG